AUGUGCUACCGUAUGUGAUUCGAAAAAUUUUUGUCGUUUACUCAGCACCGAUCACAAACUAUUUCACGAUUGUAAGAUGAGGUUUUGGCACGCGAAAUUUGGCAUUUGCAAUGGGUUUUCUUUCGUACUUUUCUAAAUGUUUCGAAUGUGAACUAGAAGAAGACCAAGACGAAGCAGAAGUAGAAGAAGAAGAGUGCAGUUAUAAUUUAUUUAGUUUUAUGUUUUUAGAUGCAAUUGAAUAAACAGAAAAUCAAUGCAAUAUAGCGAAAAAUUAAUAGAGCCAACAUGGUAUAUUUUCGGAUAGCGAAAUUCGGCUGUAGCAUAGUUAAUGCACCAAUAAACAAAU